GGUCUUUAGCCACUAACUUGCCUCUUGCAGAUGCAAAAGCAGGCACUGAACUAGAGGAGAUUAGCCAUUCCAUCCCUUCCCUACUGUACCACAUACGGUCAGCCCUCUACCGCUGAGGGCUCUGCAUGCACAAAUUCAAUCAACCAGGGGUGGAAAAUAUUGGGGAAAAUCGUGCCUGUAUGAUACAGUAGAAUAAUUAAUUAUAUAGCAUUGACAUUGUCUAGGUAUUAUAAGUAAUCCAGAGAUGAUUUAAAAUAUGCAAAUGUUACGCCAUUUUAUAUAAGGGACAUGACUAUUUUAUUUAAAGGGCUUGAUUUUGGUAUCGAAGGGAGGGCUUAGAAUCAGUCUCUUGUGGAUAUGGAGGGACAACUGUAAUCUAACUGGGUCCCAGAACUCUCCCCAUAUGCUUUGUGGCUUAGCUAGUAUGCCGGUUUCUUUACAGAAAACACACAUGAUACAGAUGACAACAGUGAGUUAUUAACUGAACAGCCACCAUGCAUAGGCAUUUUACUACACACAUUAUCUCAGGAAAUCCUCACAGCAACUCUGUGAUGCAGUGAAAAGCCCUAGUGUGCAGAUGAAGACCCUGCAGCACAGAGCUUAAUUUGCUCAAAGACACAAAGCAAGUGUCAGAGUUGAGAGCUAAGCCUGCCCAGCUCUCCACAGCCAACUAUAAAGAAGCACAUGCCUUCCCUUCCUACAACACAGCCAGGGCUCACUGGCUCAGAAAAUGCACUUGGCCCGCUUAGUUGCAUCUCAACAAAGACAAAAAGCUGCGCUGCCUUUCCCCCUACUUCAGAUGCCUGGCGUUCUUGGUCUCCUCUGACACGCCAGGUGAGUGACUUUUGUUCCGUGGAGUGGUUGGAAUUCUCCAGAUAGGGUCUGGCCCCUCCCGAGAAUGUCUGUUUGUCUUGCAUACAGGUUUCAGCACAACAGGGAUUCCAGAGCGGCCAGAACAUUCUGGACAUGGAUGCCUCCCAAACAAGCGGAGCAGAAGGUGGGGAUCUAAGAAGAGGACAUAACCAAGGCGAGGCUCUCACUAUGUGAAAAAGGCUGGCCUUAAACCUGGGAUGCUUAAGCCUCUGUCUCCCCAAGUAGCUGGAAUUACAAGUGCGCGCCACCAUGCCCAGCCCAAGGCUCCUUGUGAACUGAUCCAACAGGCUGCCUAGUAAGUGGCUCAUAUGUUAUAGACAAAAGGAAAGGGAACAAUGAAAAGGAAAAUACUUCAAAUAUUGGAUUCCCCAGAUUAAGCCAUGCUGAAAACCCUUGACGAACAUUUUAAAAGCAUGCCAGUGGCUGCCACGAUUUCAGAGGCUGAAAACAGAAUCUGGUGUGUGCCCCUCCAGGGAUGCCAGGGGGGAAUGAUGGCAAGAGCUGCCCAGGAUUUCAAGUUGGGAAGGGGCCAUCUCUGGAGAUGCACUGAUUUCCAGGAAGAUAGAACAUCAAUUUGAUAGAACAUUAAUUUGACUCAAGAUGCAACCUCAUAGCCUGGUUUCUGGGGACAUUCUCCAGGCACUCACCUUCCUAGGAGCCACCUUGGCCUCUCAGCAGCGGCCAUAGUUGGGUUCUGCACCAGGAUGGAAAGCAACCAACCUCAGGGUCCAAUCUGAAUCGCAAUCUUCAAGUGAAUAAUCCCCCUGCCAGUUUGCAAAGAGCUUGGCUUGCGUGUCUGGAAACCAGGGCCAUCCGUCUCGUUAAUCAUUCAGCCUGAGCAAGUCGACUCCCUGCUGUAGGCAUCUGUGCAAACAAGCAGUGCUUGCCUCCAAACAGCGGGGAGAGUGUGUUGCAAGGAGCCUGUCCUGGUGCUGGAUGCCCGAGCCACAGCUGGACACCCCAUCCGUUUCUCUUUCAUGCCACCCUGGCUAACGAGUUGCUGUUUACGAGAAGCAAGAGUUGACUUGGUAAAUUCCCAGGGCAUAACGUAAGCGCCAGAUCUUGGAAGGCGCCUAUGGAAUCCUGCACUGGUGGGGGAGAAAAGACAAAAGGAGGAAGGACGGGAACAGAGCCAGGGAGGUCACACAGAAGGUCAGGGAAGAAGGAACCUGCCUCCUCGCUGUCCUCACUGCCACAGCCCUCCACCCACCCCUUACCGGACUUGGACCCCCGCGGCCACCUCUAAUCUGCCCUCGAGAUUUCUGGCACAUGCAAGUAAAGGAUGAAACUUCAAAACAUACUUUGACAUUUCUGUAUUUGAUCUGGUUUGCUAAUAGGGAAUCUAAAAUACAUGCCGCCCAACCGUUCCACAUUACAGUAUUUCUGGGAGUCCCACGUGGAGGUGCUAGGAUUUAUUCUCCCCAGUGUUUCCAGUUCUUCGGUUUCCUGCCUUUGUCUAGACUGCAAAACUAAUAAGAUACCUAGUGCUAAAACUAUGUGGAGAGUAAAACGGAUGACACAUCUGCAGCUUUAAUGAAAUGAGAUAAAUCUUGAAAAUGUAUCCAGACAGAUAUAUGUUACCAGUGGGUGUAUGAAGUUGGAUGAGUUAAGUUUCAUAUAAAUAUUGGCUUCCUUUUUUUUUAAUCUUUCAAAAUCUAGCAAACAAAAAGGGAUUGAUAGUCACUUUUAGAAAUAGAAAAUUGGAUUGAUUACUACUGAAAAUGAUGAAGGUUUAGGAUUUUCUUACCCCAGCUUGUGCUUCUUUUCUUUUUUUGUUUUUUUGUUUUUGUUUUUGCUGUUCUUAUGAGACAGGGUCUCACUAUGUGGUUCAGCCUGUUCUUGAACCCCCAGUGAUUCUGCUACCUCAGACUCAGCUGGGAUUACAGCAGUGCUGGGAUUACAGGUAUGUGCUGUCAUGCCUGGCCUCUUCUAUUUCUUUUUCCUCUCCAACCUCCUCUUUGCAUACACCAACAGUUUGCUUUACACAUUUUACUAAUAGACUUCAGUAUGGUAUUUCCCUGGCGUAGUGUUACAUUGGUUCAGAAAAAAAUUUUGAGAAAAGAAAAAUUGUAAAAUCCAAUGAUGUCAAUUAACACGAUGAGCUACUACUAGCCAGGCAUGGUGGCACACACCUGUAAGCCUAUAAUUGUGGGGGUCUCUGAGGCAGUAGGAUUUAAAGUCUAAGAAUUUCACAACUUUGGAGUGUUUUGAAUUUAGAACCUUCACACUGAGCUACAUCCCCACCAAUUUUUUUUCAGUCUUUUACUUUGAGACAGGAUCUCAAUAAGUUGCCCAAAAUUGAAAUCCUCCUGCAUCAGCCUCUGGAGAAGCUAGAGUUACAAGGAGUAUACCACUGUGCCCAGCUCAGAAAUUUUAGCUUCUGAGAAAAAAAUAAUGGUUAUUUUAAAAAAUUGUCAUGAUUCUCUAGGAACUGCCCAAACAAUGGAUAGGAAAGUUUAAAAUCCGAAGAUUCCCGUUCCCCUAACUUCAGUGGAGGUGCAUGGCUCUGGGCCUUUCCUUCCCCUUAGCUUCUCUGAUGCUCAGUUUCUUUGGGUACAAAGCUGGAGUGGGCAGUGCCGGCUUUGCCUUCUGGAGGGGACGAUGAACAUGCGAGGUGGGUAGUUUGCUUCCACCAGGGCUUCUGAGGGAGGCUGCCAGGAUCCCCUGGCCAGAGUCACGGUCACAGCUUUCCCCUCAGGGCCAGCGGGGGUGCCCACCGGCUGGUGAUCCUGCCAACCUCGUCCGUCCUCUCCAGUGUCACUGCUGCUUAGCGAGCAGCCUCCCUCGUGACUCAGGGCCAUGAAGGGUGGACACCACUGAGUCAAGCAAAUGACAUUAGAAAAAUGGAAACAGCAGCUCAGUCAUGACUUCACCGGAAGAAACAUUCUUAUAAAACUAUCUGAGUCAUGUUUGCAUCCUCCUGAUAAGUCAGACGCAGCUGAAAUUGCAAGGAGCAACCCUUAGGAGUCGCAUGGUGACAGCUGUGUCUCCAGCUCACUAAGUCCUUCCAAAGACCCAGGUUCUGGGGGGCGGAUGCGCUGGAGGAGGCCGGCGCUGCAGCAGGCCGUCAUUUCCUCAGCACCUCUGGUCCUCUUUCCUAGCACACAGUGUCACUGUCCCCAGUCCUCAGUCAGCGCACCACCCCCACUCCGUGCUCCUUGGCUGCCCCUGCAGGUGGGAUGGCCCAGGAGCCUCAUAAGAAAACAGGGAAGAACAAAAACACAAAGUCAGCCAAGGAAAACCUGCUGGAGACUUAACCCUUCUUAACCAAUCCAUCAUGAAAGUUUA